UGCUGGAGGUAUCAGAAGUGCGAAUGCUGACAUGAGUAACGAUAAAGCGGGUGAAAAGCCCGCUCGCCGCAAACCCAAGGUUUCCUGCUCUACGUUAAUCGGAGCAGGGUGAGUCGGUUCCUAAGGCCAGGCUGAGAAGCGUAGCUGAUGGAAAUCAGGUUAAUAUUCCUGAACCGGCGUUGAAUGCGAUGGGGUGACGGAGCAGCCAGAGUGGACCGGGUGUUGGAUGUCCCGGCUUCCGAGCGAUGGGUGCCUGCAGGCAAAUCCGCAGGCGUAUACCCAGGACGAAGGAUCGGGUCUUCUUUUGAAGACGAAGCCACUGGAAGCGCUUCCAGGAAAAACCUCUAAGCUUCAGUUCAACGGCGACCGUACCGUAAACCGACACAGGUGGGUGAGCUGAAUAUGCUCAGGCGCUUGAGAGAACUCGGGAGAAGGAACUCGGCAAAUUGACACCGUAACUUCGGAAGAAGGUGUGCCUUUGUAGCUUGAUGGGAGAGAAACCCAAAGGGCGAAGAGGUCUCAGAGAAUCGGUGGCUGUAACUGUUUACUAAAAACACAGCGCUCUGCAAAGAUGAAAGUCGACGUAUAGGGCGUGAUGCCUGCCCGGUGCUGGAAGAUUAAUUGAUGGGGUGCAAGCUCCUGAUCGAAGUCCCAGUAAACGGCGGCCGUAACUAUAACGGUCCUAAGGUAGCGAAAUUCCUUGUCGGGCAAGUUCCGACCUGCACGAAUGGCAUAAUAAUGGCCACACUGUCUCCUCCCGAGACUCAGUGAAAUUGAAAUGUUUGUGAUGAUGCAAUCUCCCCGCGGCUAGACGGAAAGACCCCAUGAACCUUAACUGUAGCUUUGCAUUGGACUUUGAACCGAUCUGUGUAGGAUAGGCGGGAGGCUUUGAAGAAUGGACGCCAGUUCAUUCGGAGCCGUCGUUGAAAUACCGCCCUGAUUUGUUUGAGGUUCUAACCUGGGCCAGUAAUCCUGGCUGGGGACCGUGCAUGGUGGGCAGUUUGACUGGGGCGGUCUCCUCCUAAAGGGUAACGGAGGAGUGCGAAGGUACGCUAAUCACGGUCGGAAAUCGUGAGGAUACUGCAAUGGGAAAAGCGUGCCUGACUGCGAGACAGACAAGUCGAGCAGAUGCGAAAGCAGGUCAUAGUGAUCCGGUGGCUUCUGCAUGGAAGGGCCAUCGCUCAACGGAUAAAAGGUACUCUGGGGAUAACAGGCUGAUACCGCCCAAGAGUUCAUAUCGACGGCGGUGUUUGGCACCUCGAUGUCGGCUCAUCUCAUCCUGGGGCUGUAGCCGGUCCCAAGGGUAUGGCUGUUCGCCAUUUAAAGA
rnacentral:rRNA from 1 species